AAAAUCGUGUUCCUUUUCUAUUUCUUGCUCAGCCCUUCGAACACCGCCUCUUCUCCUGCGAGCCUCGUCUCCAAACAGGCUUCGGUCGGCCGGCGCCGAUCGUCCGGCUUCGGAAGCCGGUCUCCCGCCUCGGCUCGGCUUUGUUGACUCGCCGCUCCUAGUCGUUGUCGUCGUCGUCGUCGCCGUCGCCGUCGUCGCUUCAAGGAGAACGAAGCACCCCACCUUCGACGCUCGAGAUUCGCCAUCAAAGCCUUCUCGAAAUCCUCAAGCUCCUCUCGCUAGCUCGGCCAUGUUCGGUGCUCGCGACGCCUUCGCCGCGUGAUCUUCAGCUGCUACGGCGGUUUCCCCGCCGGCUCCGGAGAGACGAUGGUGAGCAAGUUCCUCUGCGACUUCCGGUGGUUCCUCCUCCUCGCCGCGGCGGUGGCGUUGAUCCACAUCCAGUUUCAAUUAAAUCUUUCAAUUCAGUUUCUUCCCCAACAUUAUCGUCUUUUUUUGGCUUUAAAGAGAUGCUCCAGCAUCAAGCAAUGUACAUAUGUAUGUAGCAGUCAUGUUGGCUUCCGUGAUCAAUUCUUCUUGCGUUGAUGUGUCUUUUCACGACACAAUUGGAACAUGCUGAUCAACUUGCUGCUGCUGGAAGUCUCCAUCCUAUUACCUCAUCCUGGUAUCUACUUCUGGAUCGAUGGCCAUUUGAACCUCUAGCUUUGUUCCAAGAGAUACACAUUCAGUUAUUAAGAUAUGUACUCGGUAAAUUUGUUAUUAUCAUGUGCA